ACGAACACGUUUUUCUGUUGUUUUACAAAUGGCGAUGACACUCUGAGACGCACUAAUCAGACCACCUCGAGACUUUCGACGAAGAAGAGCACUGUGUAGAGUUCUGUCUGUGAGAGCGUCGAUGCAGUCAGCACAGGAGAUCUUCCUUGUCACCAUCUUGACAACGUACCCCGCGAUGUACCCCACAACAUCUUCAACAAAGGCUGACAGUUGCUCUGUAUCAGGUACAUCUGCGUAGUCGUGGUCUUCAACGCAUUCACUCUGUGCAGUACCAAAAUAGCGGGAUGCAUGAAUGUCAAGUUCGUCAAGGGAAGUAGCUCCUGCUGCUGCUGUCACAGUCAGUAUGCGUGUGGAGUCUUGGGCGAUACAAUUACCUCGUGCUGUAGGCUCGAUUUCAUGGUGAACAAGGAGCCUCUUGUAUGCAGCCAUGAAGUGUCCUGCCGUCGGGUUGUUGCACCACCCACCUUUACCCCUCAACGCACAAAAGAAAAGUUCGAGGUGGUCUUGAGAGAGUUUGUAUGUGAGCAGGUACCUUAAGAGUGCAUUAUCUCCUGAAAGAAGAUGGCUGCAUAGGCUUUGAAUGCUUGCCAUGUUGAUGAGGAAUCCAAGGAAGCCUGUUUUUCGUGGGGAUUCUAAUAUUGGCUUUCCAGAUGCAUCUUUCAGGUUGCCAAUAUACGCAGUCAUCUCGUUGAAGAAUGGAAUCCAAAGGUGGCGGGUUGGAUAACGGAUGGGUGCUUUGAAGUUCUUUGCCAGGGAAUUGCGGGAGUUCAUGAUGUCGAACAGACGAUCGAACUUCCUGAGGAAUUCCACUGUUGCCUCACAUCCAUGAAACAUUGGAUUGUUUAUGUCCCUGUCACAGAACUCCAGAGCAUCCACCACACUUGAGCUGAGUGUCUGAGCUGCCAAAUUCACCUUCAUCUUCUGACUUCCCCAGUCAAUGUGGGCAGCCUUGAGCUUGUUUCCAGCAUGAAGCCCUUCCGAUUGCUGCAGAUUUUGGAGGGAUACGAGGUAGGCCCACUUUAUUGUGCCUCCAUUGCUGUCUUUCAGGGUCCCCAUUGUUGCCAGGGCAUUACGAAUCAGCUUCAGCAUGUGGCAAGCAUCGAGGAUUACAUGAACUCUCCAGGAAGAAUCAGAAGGGUGCUGAAACCAUGGCCUGAUGUCGGGGCUUCUCAUGUUUGCACCAAGGUCUUGAAACAUGGCUGUUGAUCAGAAAGUAUGCACAUGGCACUUUCCAGUUACUGUCCAAAGCAACCACAAGGAAUACAAGAGCUUGUGUAGCUGGUUCCUGGCUGUCGCCAUCAAUGCCAGUACCUAGGUUUAUGAAGCCAUUAAAGGACUGUCCUGUGAA